rnacentral:rRNA from 1 species
GAUGAACGCUGACAGAAUGCUUAACACAUGCAAGUCAACUGUGGCGGACGGGUGAGUAACGCGUAAAGAACUUGCCUCACAGAUAGGGACAACAUUUGGAAACGAAUGCUAAUACCUGAUACGGUGAGAGAGAUUUGCGUCCCAUUAGCUAGUUGGAGAGGUAACGGCUCACCACGGCGAUGAUGGGUAGCCGGCCUGGGAGGGUGAUCGGCCACAAGGGGACUGAGACACGGCCCUUACUCCUAUGGGAGGCAGCAGUGGGGAAUAUUGGACAAUGGACCAAAGUCUGAUCCAGCAAUUCUGUGUGCACGAUGAAGAUUUCGGAAUGUAAAGUGCUUUCAGUUGGGAAGCGGUACCAACAGAAGAAGUGACGGCUAAAUACGUGCCAGCAGCCGCGGUAAUUC